CGGAACCAGAGACCGGCGCACGGGUGCGUAACGCGUAUGCAAUCUACCUUUUACAAAGGGAUAGCCCAGAGAAAUUUGGAUUAAUACCUUAUAGUAUUAUUGAGUGGCAUCAUUUAAUAAUUAAAGAUUUAUCGGUAAAAGAUGAGCAUGCGUCCCAUUAGCUAGUUGGUAUGGUAACGGCAUACCAAGGCAACGAUGGGUAGGGGUCCUGAGAGGGAGAUCCCCCACACUGGUACUGAGACACGGACCAGACUCCUACGGGAGGCAGCAGUGAGGAAUAUUGGACAAUGGGCGCAAGCCUGAUCCAGCCAUGCCGCGUGCAGGAUGACGGUCCUAUGGAUUGUAAACUGCUUUUAUACGGGAAGAAACCCUGGCUCGUGAGCCAGAUUGACGGUACCGUAGGAAUAAGGAUCGGCUAACUCCGUGCCAGCAGCCGCGGUAAUACGGAGGAUCCAAGCGUUAUCCGGAAUCAUUGGGUUUAAAGGGUCCGUAGGCGGCCUCGUAAGUCAGUGGUGAAAUCUCCCGGCUCAACCGGGAAAUUGCCAUUGAUACUGCAGGGCUUGAAUUAUUAGGAAGUAACUAGAAUAUGUAGUGUAGCGGUGAAAUGCUUAGAUAUUACAUGGAAUACCGAUUGCGAAGGCAGGUUACUACUAAUAUAUUGACGCUGAUGGACGAAAGCGUGGGUAGCGAACAGGAUUAGAUACCCUGGUA
rnacentral:rRNA from 1 species